AACUGAUACUACCUGCGGGAACCUGCGGAAGGAUCAUUACAGGACUCGCAAGACUCCUACAACCCUGUGAACUUAACUAUAAGCACGUUGCUUCGGCGGGUGUCUCGGCGAGGGUUCUCCCUCCCCGGGGCGCUAAGCCCGCCGGCAGCCUACUAUACUCUGUCUCUUUGCGUUGGCAUCUCGAGUACAAACAAACAAGUUAAAACUUUCAACAACGGAUCUCUAGAUCGGAAGAGCACA
rnacentral:misc_RNA from 1 species